CCUACGGGGUGCAGCAGUGGGGAAUAUUGGACAAUGGGCGAAAGCCUGAUCCAGCCAUGCCGCGUGUGUGAAGAAGGCCUUCGGGUUGUAAAGCACUUUCAGUGGGGAAGAAAGCCUUGGGGCUAAUACCCUCGAGGAAGGACAUCACCCACAGAAGAAGCACCGGCUAACUCCGUGCCAGCAGCCGCGGUAAUACGGAGGGUGCGAGCGUUAAUCGGAAUUACUGGGCGUAAAGCGCGCGUAGGCGGUCUGAUAAGCCGGUUGUGAAAGCCCCGGGCUCAACCUGGGAACGGCAUCCGGAACUGUCAGGCUAGAGUGCAGGAGAGGAAGGUAGAAUUCCCGGUGUAGCGGUGAAAUGCGUAGAGAUCGGGAGGAAUACCAGUGGCGAAGGCGGCUUUCUGGACUGACACUGACGCUGAGGUGCGAAAGCGUGGGUAGCAAACAGGAUUACAUACCCCUGUAGUC
rnacentral:rRNA from 1 species